CACAGCCCCUGCCACGAGACACCUAAUCGAAGAAGCGCCUUCCUCUCAUCUUUUUGAUAAUUCAACAUCCAGUUCAUAGAGAACUGCCUACUCCCACCUCGACCGAGAAAGAGAUCUAAGGCUUCUUUGAAGAAAGUAAAGCAGGAAUAGAUGGCCUGCCCCUAGCUCUAAAAAAUCUCUAUAUUUUGCUAUCAAAGGAGUGCUUUCAUUCCCUGCCACCCGCUUUUAUAGGCUGUUCCUUAUCGGCAUCUCACGAAAAAAUCUUUCAUGAUCCAUUCUUCCGGAAUUGGAUAGAGAAUGGGAUAUUCCACUGGGAGGGAGAGGCGGGGGUGACAUCAGAAGUAGGAUCGUCGAACGGAUAGCAGCAUCACAUUGAGAAUUGACUCGUCGGAUUAACCACUUAGACGGAGAGUUCCCCAUAUUCCAUUUCAUUGGCAACCGAAAUAGAUCUAAACAGCGUGCCCGGAGCGAAGGAAGGGCUUCCAAAAUGAAUUGAAAAGUCAAAUCAAUGAAAGGCCCAGAUGUAGCCUUUGUGUGCGGAGCAAGCCUACACUGGCUGAGAUGAAGAAAAUGUCGACACCGAUGAAAUGUUUGAAAACAUAGACAGCGGAAGAAGUCACUCUCAAUCCGAUCUAGCAAGAAAUGCUAUACCGAUAAAGUAAAGCGAGAGAGCUCAUUAAGAAGGCCAUCUUCCAUCCGCCUUUUAGUUUUAGAUAGGGCGAGGCUAGUACGAGACUCCGAACCACGACGGAUCUUGUCUUAGGAAAUAGAAUGGGACGGGAGGCCUAUCUGACCUUUUGUUUGAUUCCAUUUUCCAACCCUUUCUUUAGAACCAACCUGGAAUGCAAACAAGGAAGGAAAGGGCUGAAAUCUCCAUAUCUGAUCCAGCAAAAAAAACCUGACCUUAGCAGUGAUAGAGAUAGCAUAGCUGUAGACAGGGGGAGGGCCCGGAUUACCUUUUCUAUUAGAAUAAGGAAGGGAAUCGCUUUGAUUGCUUGCGACAGCUUAUCGAUGCUCGUUAGCGGUGAAGUCCCUCAAACCAGAAGUUUCAAAAGCUUUUGACUGGGCAGAGAAAUGAACUUUACAUACUGAUAUCGCAUACCGAAGGGAAGGCCUAAUUGUACCACUCCCCCUGACCUUCCGCCUGAACUGAUAGAAGUUGGCUUGAGCUGAGCGUCUCUUACAAAAAAGGUGCCCUAGUCGCCUCGGUGGAAUGCAUUGAAGAAAGGAAUCCACUCUCAACCCUUUCAUUUUAUUUAAUAGAAUGGUAAGCCGGUCUUAUUCUUUUAUAUAUACGAGUAAACAACUUCUGCUCUAACUCCUUGAGGAAAAAGUCUUGCAUCUCGCCCAACUCCUACAAAGCCCACCCCCGAAGGAGAAAAAAGUUAUCAGCACCGAUGUUACUAACCUUAUGCUUCGCCAAUCUUUAUAUGCCACGGGGAAUCGAUCGGUUGAAUCCGUUGCAAGCCUAUCUUCCGAACCCCGCAUCAAAGUCUUGUCACCGUGCCCGCUUGGGGUCUGUCUGAGUAAGGAAAGAGCUCGUAGCCACGUGAUAGGUCUUGUCUUGUUGAUAACCUGGAGACCGGCGAAGACUGCGCUCCAGCUGGUGGUGAAGGAAAGGGGGAAGGGAACUAUAGAAUAGAAGGAGCUGGACAUGAACCGUCACGGUCUUUCUGGUGAAUCAGUGCUGUUUGCAUGGCACUCAUAGGCUCUGGGACUGAUGACCUUACUCUUCUAGUCUUUUCCAGUAAGCCUUGUUGGAUGACUCAGAGCUCUUGUGCUCCCUCUUUUCAAUAUCCCUUUGCUGUCUUCGUAACCGCAGUGAGAGUAGGAGCUCAAGCAGUUGCCGCUGCAAGACUAGCCGCUCUUGAGUAAAUAGCAGCUCUUACCGCGCUUGAUGGUGAAUAAGCCUUGGAAUCCGUGUUGAGAAAGCAUCCAAUUGCUAUUACAAAAGCAUAUCCCUUAUCUAAUUAGAAGGAACUUCUUUCCGGCGAAGUGACAGCGGGGAAGGAAAGCAAGGGACUGAUUACACUAGUCAGACAUGCCCAGAAGAGGAUAAGAUCAGAAAAGGGCACAAUGCCUCUUGAGAUUGUUGAAUAAGCUAUUCAUCAAUGCUCGAGUCAUAUUCUAGUAGACAAACUUUCUUCUUAUGUCCACCGGGGAAAAGAAUACAAAAAGAUUGAUAGGCCAUUCAUUCCCUUCUCUCUCUCCGAAUCUUGCUCCCUCAUUCCCCUCCAUUCGGCUAUCGAUAUUUGCGGAGUUGAAGGCUUAGGCUUAGGUCUAGGUCUUCGCACCGUCUUGGAACCUUUUUUCUGAGCUUUUGACAGUUGAGUCUCGGACGCUAACUAAGGAGACUACUGCAUCUCGCUCUUAUUAUAAAACAAUAAAAAAGAAGACAGGUUGCCCUGCCCUGUCAGUCUCGAGCUCGAGGUCGUCUUUCUUGUCUCACACAAGAGAAGCCUUCUUUAUACAGACAGGAGUUAGAUAAGCAUGUAGCUUAUGGCUUUAUCCUAUAGAUAUAUAUAGAAAAAAGAAACGAGGAUCAGUCUUCAUCCUUUCGCUUUUCAAAGUGAAUGAUCCCCUCGCUCUUAACCUUUAUGUGACCGCAAUAGCAAGGGACAGGAGCUCCCCCUAGCUCAGUAAGCAAGUGCUACAAACCUUUGAAACUAGAGUAAAGGUACCCAGGGACAUAAAAUGCUAGGUUGUGAGGAAGUGAAUCGGUUCUUACCUGACAGUUCCUAGAAUUGGACAAAAAGGUUUUGCACGUUAAUCAGAAAAGGAAGAAUACGAUCUUGUCGCAAUUGAAUCCGUAACUGCAGCUAUUGAGUCUGCUGUGGGAAUAAGCGCCUAGAAGAGAGCUUUCACUGGCUUUUUCUUACUAUGAGGAUGGAUGUAGAUAUAAGUCGUCUCUUGGCCAGGGCAUUAGCAGAGCAGCUUCCACUCCUCCCUUCGAUAAGCUUCCCUUUUUGGGCACUGGACCUAGUUACCGCUCCAUGGGAACAUCUAUAGAUUCCGCUAUCGGGAAAGUCAGGCAUGGAAUCACGCUAAGGUAAGGUUUCUAUCUAAUCCAUCUAGAAUAGGAUCUACUCUAUCUAUUUGAUUUUCCACUUCUGCCUGGCUGACUGAAUAAAGAAAUGGAACCAUAGCUAAGACUGAUCGAUGAGCCUUCUCUCUCCUUGAUCUGUCUAGUUCUAUUUUUUUGACUAAUCCGAAUCUGUGGACUGAGUGAGUAGCUAACUAAAAUAGAAUAUUUGAGGAUAUAGGAGUAGGGCUAUUCUUCGCACCGAGAAAAUCUUUUGUUAAUCUCGUUAUCUCCACGGGCGCUGGGUUAAGGGCAGAAUCAGACCUUGGGGAACCGGUACGAAAGGGAGCUAGCUAAGGCAGCAAGCCAAGAAAGGCAGCAUAGUAGGCCUUUUAGAAUUAGAAAGGAAGCCAACUCUUGUUCGACGUAGGGUAGAGUCACUUAUUUCAUUCCCUGGGCUUUCCAUCCUAUUAUGGGGCUUGAAUGCGGGUCUUUGGCUAGAGACGGAGACUUUCCCAGUGAAAGCGCUGGCGUUCAGUUUGGUUGCGUGCUUUCCGAUCUCUUUCCCUUCCUUUCUGUGGUAGCAUGGUUAACGGUAGCAUGUUUGCUAGUCUUGUCGGACUAGGAGCUCUACUAGGCUUGACCGUGGGAAAUUGACUUAUUCUUGCUCAAGUCAAGUGGAAUCAGUUUCAUUUGGCUCUAGACUACGAUUCGAUAGAGAACGAUUUGGCACAUCUUCGAUUUCCUGGUAUGAAAGUAGUUAGGCUUGGUUUUCUUUGAGUUCAAGAUAUUCGGCAUAAGCCGUCUUUGCUUUUGCUCUUAUCGAUGUGAUCCUUGUCUUUAGCUUGGCACCAGGGCGGCUUGCUUACCUACCUUAUGAAUGACUUUCGGACUUUCUUCUUUUCUGUUAGCACGCAUCCAGUGACCGAUGAAUCUGUUGUCGGAAUAAGCGUAAGCGCAGCAAGAGAAUUCGCAGCUUUUGUGCCUAAAAUCCCUACUUUAAACUGGGUUGGCUUUCAAAGAUAGAGACUAUCACUGGAUUGCUUGCUCAGUUCCUCAAUCCAAUUUCCCAUUUGACUUCCUGACAUUUUCAAGAGCUUGAAUAAAAGAAAGGCCUGCUUACCCGCUUCAACUUCAAAGAGGAUUUCUCACGGGAUUGGUGUAACUGUCUUUCUCCCACUCGAUGGAUUGCUCCUAUUGACCUAGCUGUCUUACUCGCUGUCUAGCCCGCUCUCCCUGACUUUUUUAUCCGUAGCUUGAAGGAGGGAGAGGCUAGAUGGCAGAAGAGAAGGCAAUGCCUCCUCGUUCUUCGUUUUCGAUUUGCUUGUCCAUUUUUUCAUUUUCACGUGAAGGAAGCAAAGCAACCUUAGUCUUAGUCUGCCCUAUCUUUUUUUUCGAAUAUCCCUUUUCGAAGCUUCGAGCCAAGGCAAUCCGGAGACCAGUACGGACAGCCCAAGCCCAGAGUUCAGCAGUCAAGUUUGUAGCAACUCCAAUUCUAGCUGCAUAACCUCGAAGCCAGACGCCCUAUCUUCCUCGAUCCCACUCAUGUUCGGAUUCACUAACCAUUCCCUUUCUCUUUUUGCAUGUAUGAUUUCUUGGUCGGUCGCUUCCUUUCGCUUUCAUGCGGAAGGCCCCCUACCGGCCAGAAAGAAUUGUUUUAGAUAGUAUAGAGCGUAGCGUUGGCUAUGGUGCCAUUUGCGAAGAAAUGAGUUCGCUUUCUUUACUACUACGCUCUUUCUCCCGUCUCGGACGUGAUUCGUAUUGGAUGCUCUUAUCGGAUUGAUUGGAUGCUUGAUUCCUUAGCAGAGCUACUGAUUUUAGAUGCGGAACCAGAGCAGAGCUAGAGAGUCUCAGCCUUGGUGAAUGAGCCAAGGUUCCUGACUUCUAUUCGCUAUAGCUUCCAUGCCAAGCUAGCAUAGCGCUUUCGCUUUUUGUUGAGAAAGUCAAGCUCAGUUCUUUCUCCUCCCUAACACCCUACUCUCUUCUCUUCCUCAAGUCCCACAGGGCAUUCUUCCACUGGCCAUUUGAAAGAUGAAUCUCUACCUUUUGAAGAAGGUGCCUAGCCUUAGCAGAUUCCUACUUAAAAGAGGGAAAGUGCUAAGACCGCGAAUGUCGCAUCCACGGGAUAAGCAUUCAUUUACCUUUCAAAGAUCGUUUAUCCCGCAGCAUCUUCAGUAUGCUACAAAGAAGCAUGAAAGGGUUAUGCGAAAUAGACAAAAUCGGCUUCAUCUAAUGCUUGCUGGCUAGCGCUAUAGGGCUUUGAACCAUAGGCCUUUCUUCUUUUGUUUUGAGAAGAGCUUGCGCACUAGCAUUCCUUCACCCGAUCGGAGACUACCCGGCUACGUCUUAAUCGGAGAAUUCCAGAUGUCUUGGAAUAGAUUGAUAUAGGCAUUUUUAUGUAUGCGGAGGCUUAGUCAAAAGACAGCUUUCAAAGACUACUUUCACUCGCUUAAAAGCGCCUCACUGUGCGAAGAAUAGCCCAUCAAGCUAGAUGAAAGAUCUGCCAGAGUCUUGAUGUUAAACAAACCCCUCCCCGUGAGAUGCCGAAGGCAAAGUACUUUAAGAAGGGAAGAGCUUGGCCUAGAAUGAGCAAGGGAUAGAGAUGAUGGUAUGAAUGCAUUCAUCAACAGAAGUUUCAUCCUCGGAUUCCCACCUACCCACCUCAGACUUAUUCAUCAUCGUUCUGGUACUGGCCGGCCUAAUGCUUUUCCCUCUCCUAUCAAGGAAUAGGCAUAAGUGACUUGCUCAAAGUAGAAUGUCAUAUUAUAAGAUAAUUUCAGAAUCCUCCCGUUGAUGCAUUGCUUAGCUAAUUUAGUCUCUGUUCUCAUCGCUGCUCUGGUUGAAUGGAAGGGAGGUAGGCCUUAUUUAGGAGUGUACCGAUGUUAACGAUGGUGGUGAUGGUGACCAACAAAGGCAUGCUUUCUUCCCCCAAUCGAUAGCCUAUGGCUUAAAUAAGAUUCUCAAAUCAAAUGAGAGAAGAGCCAUAGUAAGUGGUCAGCAUAGAAUGAGCCUUCUUUCUUCCUACCUUUAGCAUUACCAUUCUCUCAUCGAUUACUGCAAACUCUACCCUUCUCAGUCAACUUCUAGCUAGUGAAUCUUACCUACUAUUCUAUUUUAGUGAAGGGAAUGCUCUAGCCUCUCUGCAAACCAGCACUGUCCCGGGUCUCUCAAUCUUCCAAUCCAGCCUCCUUUCUAGAUAUAGACCUGAGUGGCCUUUUUCCUUCUUAUUCAAUUAAUUACUAGGCUUGGUCUAGCCAGCUUUCCCUUCAAAGGUAGCUAUGGAGGAAGGCUGACGAAGGAAGUAGAUAGUGAAUAGGAAGUUGGAUUACUAAGCACUUCCAUAGUAGCAGGCAUAGCUAUGAGGUACUGCCCGGUUCUCUUCUAUCCUACCUACACCCCCUAAUAGUAAAGUCCCUAGCUUCAAAUAAAGAGCCUUUUUCGCACGUUUAGGGACCCCUCGUACCCUUCCAUCUGAUCAAGGGGAGAGUGCUUUUUGGAUGAGCAAAACUGGCCAUUCUGGACGUUUUCAGAAUUGGGAGCGUAAAGCCAACGCCACUCUCACAUAGGAUCGGGGGAAGAAGGUCUGAGGCAAGGAGUGAUUUCUCGUUGAUCAAAGCAAAGUAAGUAGCCAACUUCUCCCUGUUGAUAGCACAGGAAAAAGACAAGGGCGGAUUCACGACUAUUGCUUGCUACUACUCCUAGCGUGGAAAUUAGCCCUCGUAAGGCCGACAAAUUGGAUUUCUUUGCAUUUUAAUAAAAAAUGUGCGAACAUUCCUUGGACUCUUGAACAGAUUCAUUUCCUUGCUAUGCUACGCACCUCUAUUAAUAUUAAUGGGUAUGACUACAAAAAAGGAAGAAGAUGAGCUAGAAGAUAAAUUCCCGCUGCUGGCAAUAAGCUAAUGGAUGACGAGAAUCGUCACUCUAAUUAUGAAUUCUAGGCUUUCUUGUCCAUAGUCCACCGCUUCGCUCCUUACUACAGGAAUAAGAUUACUACCAACAUCAGUGUAUCGGCGGAAAAGCAACUUACAUCCUUGCAUAUUUUAUUCAUAAUAAGUUAAGUAGCUAUCCUUGAUCCAGAAAGUGGUACUAUACUAAGAAACUAAGACUAAGUAUAAGUAGUAAAAGUAGUAACUCCGAGCCAAAAAGGGUACGACUAUUUCGAAGGUAGAAAGCGAGGGUCGAGUUCCUUAUUAGAGUAGAGUUUUUUCCAACCAUUGGAAGUUCUCCUUCAGACAUUAGGAGUUAUAGUUUUCUUAAUCGAGGUGGAGUAGCUUUCGAUGUCGUACCAGCCUCAAAAAAUGAUAUCCAUUCAGCCGAACUAAUUGCAGUAUGAGCGCACUCUCUGGGCCUAUCUAAUAGCAUAUUUGGAAGUGAUAGGUUAUGAUGACAUCUUUUCUGGUAUAUCAGUGGGCGCUCUAGAAAAAAGAGCUGUAGUUCUAGUGAAUGCUUAUUGAUUUUAAAUGCCCAUACUUUCUCCUGUUAGCGCUUUCGACUUCUCAUCUUUCAGAUGGGAUGUAGCCGUUCGAUCAAAGAAAGAAAAUGAAGCAGAUAAGUUAGAGAUAACUAGUUUUAGGUUCCGGUUCUCGAGCAGGUGAGGCUCAGCCCUUCAUCGAACUCGUUCUAGUUGCUUUUUUUUAGGUAAACUCUGAAUAUAUAUAUAUUCAGAGUUUGUGUUUAAGGCUAAAGAAAAGAUAUAUCAGCAGUUCCUUUUGUAAGCUAAGCCACCUUACUACCUCAGUCAUUUUGAUUUACCGUUCCUGCGUAGCUUCUGGCAUUUAUAUUCCGUCUGCUUGUGGGAUAAGGCCUCUCUCUUGGGUUUAACUAGCGGUUGGGUUAAGUCAAUGGACUCAACCUGUUAUAUUCACUAAAUCAACAAGAUCCUGACUGGCUAAUUUGGGUUCAGGAGCAGCUAGAAUGCCUGAAGCGGGAGGAGCGAACGAAGUGAGAACUAGAUCGAGAGUCCAGUUUUCAGUGACUUCAAGUGAAUGCGCUUUGGGCCUUUAGGAAGCGAUUGAACGAAGCAGUCGAAAUGCUUUGGAUGCACAUGAAUGAGGGAGCAAAGCCAUAGGAAAUAAGGCAACUCUCUUGACAGAGGGGCAUAGCGGGUACUCUAACCAUAAGGAGAAGGAAGGUAGAGCUCGCUUUAAAUAAGUUAGAAAUAGGCUUUCACUCCUCUCCAACCAGUCGAGAUCAAUCGAUCUUCCUCUCCUCUUUCAACCGGAAAAGGCUCUGAAAGAUGACUUCAAUGGGGACUAGAAGGAAAGAAGGGGAAAGAGUAGUUCAUCUCGACUCAUCCAACGGGCAAGCAAGUUCCACGGCUAGAGAGGUGAGAAGGUAGCUCAUUUUACCAGUUCCGUGGGGGAAAGACGAGCAAAGCGUUCGAGGAGCCCUACUUUUAAGAAGAAGGCGUUCACCAAGGGAACUAGCCGGUAGGAGGGAUAGUUGGCCGGCUUUCAAGCCAGGUUGCAUGCAUGUGACUGAGUCCGGAGAUUUCGUUUUGUUUUCAGGGUGUACGAAGUGAAGGCUCGUUGAGACCUUGCCUUAGGAAGACUUUAUAGGCACAGUACCAGGGACCGAACUCUCAUUUCCUUGCUUAAGGCCCUUCGCCUAUGGAGGAUUUCGUGCAUAACUUACGUAUUUAGCUGAACAGGGUAAAAAUCUUCCUUAAGCUUCCCUUCCAUUCUAGGGAAAACCACUGCUGGGAAAGCGUAAUCUAAUCACUGCCUGAAAGAGUCCUAUUUACCUAAUAAAGAGGGACUGCUUGCUUGUGCCUUAAAAUGGUAAAGGACAGAACGCACGGCGCCUUUCGAACCUUUUCUCAUUAGAUCGGGUAACCUGCACUAAUAGGUCAAGCCACAUUUCAUAUAGAAAUUCAGGUUCCUAGGAAUGUCGUACGAGUCAUUCAUCUAGUCCCAAGGGGGCUUCCCGACUCAAGCUACUGGGAAAUAGGACCACAAUUCCUACUCACUGAGUGUAAACGACUCUCUUCGGCUUUCCGUCCCUUUCAAUAGGAAGGGUCACAGCCUAAGUCAGGCCGGGCCUUGAUCAAUGAUCAAUAUCAAAACAACCAUAAGUGAUUGGCUCACGACUACGUAGAAUGAGAUUCUCGCUUCCUUACUUUCUCAUAUCUUUGCUUAGUCCGGCAUUCCCAAUCUCUUUCUUUUUCGACGUAAGAACCGCAAGAUGGAUGAGCAAAUGGCUUACUCGAAAGCACAAGUCUCACUGCCGGGGCGAGCUGCGCGAAAGAACUCUUUUGAGCCGUAGUUUGACUUCUAAGAAUAAGCGGUCGAAGGCACAGUUUUCAUCUCCUUGAAUCGAAUGCGAUAAUCUUCGAUUAUCACUGAUGGCAAAGGACGAUGCCCACACUUCAGGUCGAUCAGAAAGAAAAAAAAAUCCGCUCUGGUGCCAUUUUCCUUAAUUAUAGUAAUUGAAGGACAUUCCGCCAAAUCUAGCAACCCACGGAGCGGUAGACAACCGAGGAAAAAAAAAAGUUUUUUAAUUUAAUUUACCUUGAUGUGGAAAUGCUUGUUUCAAAAGAAAGAAGAUCAGAACGAAAUUACGUAGGUAGAGAGAUCUUUUCUUUUUCAUCCCGAACUAGACAGACAGAGCUUCAUACGGUGCUUUUCAUAAGUUCGAGUCUUCCUUCUGAUCCCAAGGAAUGCGCGUCUGGUGGUAUCGUAUAUAAGAGAAAGCUUGCUUUUUUGAGCCUCCAAUCAUAACAUAAAGAAAGGUUUCUACGGAGCAAAGUCUAAUGAGAAAGCGUCUGUUCACUGGCCCUUUGAAUGGAAUCUGGAGAUGUAGUCAAAAGUGACUUUCAUCGAGAUUGGGUUAGUGUUCAGUGUAACCAUAGAACGGUACAAGAUCGAAAAGAAUGAUUGCAUUUCAAGUGAGAUGUCCAAGAGAAAAGGAACGAGGUUUUGAAGCGACGAGAACAAAAAAUCGUGAAUGAAAAAGCGUGACGAGGUUUUCUCCAUUCGAGAUGUUAAAUGAACUUCUCAGUGCGGUCGAACCCUUUUUACAAGGAUUGCAAUAAAUUUCUACGAGCGCGGGGCAAAGGACGCUACCGCAGGUUCCCGGGAAUCCACCCGUGGAAGGAACUUCUUCCUCUUCGGUGGUCGAAGGGGAGGUCUCCCAAAAUCAAAUUUGGGCGGCUGUGGAACGAAAGCAAUGGCAAGACCUUCUGUCGUCCAAGGAGUGGCGUUUAACAGAACGGCGUUUCCAUCUCUGCGAAAGCAGAAUCUCCGUGAUUGUGGGCAAAGACUAUUAAACUUCUAGCUAAAUCACGCUCAUGAAAAUCAACCACUGCUACCUGUGCUGCUUUGAAGGUCCUAUCUUCGUAUGGAUAUGAUAGAUCUCCUACCUCGGCUGGAACUUGCCUCUGCAACUUUAAGGUAUAAAGCUCCCAUUCCCCCAUUUCUUAGUCACUCGGAGAAAGGUAGCGAAGUGAGUUCAGUUUUUUUAAUUUUGAGUAUAGGAUACCACCAGCGUCGUAUUCGAUGAUGGACAUCUUAGGUCAAUCGGCUUAAUCCCGAACAGCUGACGAGAGCUAGGAUAGGAAAACUCUUUGCCUGUCUGGUCUACCUGAUUGGGAGCUAGCUAGUCUAUUCAAUCAGCUAGCCCUAACAUUCAAUUGGUACUGGCUCAGUUUCACAGUGAUCUUCUUUCUCACAGCAACAACCUUUCCUUUCUGUCUGGCUUGUCAUGUUCUUUUACUUGAUUGAAUUAUGACUCAUUUCCUUGCUUCUUAGUUUGUCUAGGCAAUCCUGUAACACGUGCAAUCCUGUCUUUCACUAAUGCCACUAGGCCCAAUCUCCGGAACUUGGCAGCAGGUAACAAGUCGGCAAUCUGUCUUACUAAUUUCUUUGUGUGUUCUUACAGUGAUCCAAUCAAUCGGGAGUGGAUGCCAGUGAGGGACUAGAAUGAAAGGGCAAGGCUUGGACUACUGCAAUAAGAUAAGGUAGGUAAUGGACAGCCCGGAAAGCACAGCCGGAUUGGCCAGUUCAGUUCCCCGUUCUCCUAUGUCUUUCUAGGUUCCUUUGCUGUAUUGAAUGUAUAUAUAUUUAUGGGAGCUUGUUCGUCUGUCUUUCUAUGAUAGGGAGGGUCUGGCUUUAUUCCGGAUGGAGCACCAUUUAUAUGGAGUUUAUGUGCUUUCAGUUGUAGGCCCAGCCCCUUAGCCUUUUAUUUUAAAUAAAUCCUCCCGAAUCAAGUCCAGAUUUCUCUUUUUUCCUUCCCCGAUUGAUUGAAGUAGCUCCUGUUGUUGGGUCACUUCACGAUUUGACUUCCUUCUUUCGUAGGUAAUGAGUUUCCGGUGGUAUCAUAAUUUGCCGUAUAGGCAUUUACUGAAGUUGGUAAUUGGUAAGGAGAUCGAAGUAUUCCUUGUGCUUUUCCCAUUCACGUAUCCCGUGGUAGCCCUUUAAGGUAAGGUAUUUUGUUAAGGCGAAUUGGCGAAGGAUGGAUAGCGAGGGAGAGGUUACCCCACCUUCCGUAGGCAUUCAUUUUCGGGGAGUAGCCUGCUACAGUAUACAAUUCUAGUCCUCUUAGGGCGCUGUGGAGGAUCCCGAGGCGGCUCAAAAAUAUGACGUGAACCCUAAAAUCACUACCAAAGACAACAAUUCCGACAUUCUCAAUCCUCCUCAAAUGGAUAUCUGUCAAGGUCGGAAUCUCGGAUUCCUUUUUCCAGAUAUCGGCAUCAAUUCUGCCUGUCGUUUAACAUCGUUGCUUUCCCUUUCCUUUUCUUAGGGAACUGCUGAUACCUCUGUCAGUCGUACCGGAAUCCACUAUACUAUAACUAUAGGAACUGAAAGAGAUGAUUUGGCGGGAAUUCCUUAAUGAACUGCUUCGUUCGACUCGCUUGUGAAUGCGAUGGCGACGGGGUCGGUCUGUCUUUCCGCUUUUAAGCUAAUGGUUGUCCUCCGUUCAGACAGCACGGAGAAGAGGAAGAAGUCGUCACAAGGUAUCCGUACGUACGAGUUCUGUAGGAGUGCAAGCAUUCGACUUAAGUUCCCAAUAUAAAUCCGUAGGGUACUCUCGGGCGAAAGGCCCAAACGGCACCUUGUUAGCAGUCCUAUCCUCAGUGAACGUUGUUAGCUGUAGUUACAGCUAUUAAUGGCUCCAUCAAUCAUAGAAAAAGUCUAUGUUGAAGAACCACCAAGAUGAGAACAUCUUUAGAAAGCCCGUUUUGUGUUCAGUGAAAGAAAGCGAUACUGUAGGCUGGAAUCUCCUCAACGAGCUGGAGUAGCGAACGGGAACAACGGCCUUAUUGAUUCAACCUCUUUACGGGACUCCUCUACUAGUUACACUUAGCACUUAGAUAGUGAGGAAAGCGACGAAGCCUUCGGUAAUACCUCUCUCUGUGCUGUCUUCCCGAAAGGAAUAUGCUUUCUAGGUAAGUGCGUAUCAAUAGAGUGUGUAAGCCGAAGUAGCUGGUUCAGGCUAACCUGCUUGUUAUAGGGUAACCAACAAGUAUGCAAGACUCUUUCCGGACCUAGGAUUGUCUUUCGGUUUGAAAUCUAUUAGAAAAUGUAGUUGUUGCUCGCCUGAUAGUAAGUCGCUCGCUUCAUUGAAGGAAGCGGGUCGAUGUCUCGUAUGAAGGGAAUUUGAGUUGCAACCAUGAUAAAAUCCCCUAAAAAACUGGGCGUUGAGGCCCUACCUUUCAGGUAGACCUGCCGUUCACACUUCACCUUGAAAGCGGAUCAUGCGCACUGAACUAAGAAAUAGUAUAGUUUGUUCUAGGAAUGGAUCUUCUCUGCCGCAGGCAUCUAAGAGGUUCAAGCGAGUAGGAGCCUUCUUCUUCUUUGAAUAAAACGCUAAUUUCUUUGUGGACUGUACCGAUAACAUAACUCCAUUGCUCCUGAACUUGCAAAAGACUUUUUUUUGCUACUCCUGCAAACACAAAUACGGGCUAUAUUGGCAGAAUCCUUUCCUAAAUCCCAAUUUUUUAUGUACCCCGACAUAGUCCUUCACAAAGGGGUUUAUUUUAUUCGCUUCGAGCGUGGCGUUCCUGUAAGAAUUUAGUGGUUCUUUAAGUUUAUCCUUUAUCUUUCCCACUACCUACUUCCCUUGAGACUUCGCUUCCUUACCUUUCUUGUCUUUGAACAGAAAGCGAUCAGCGACAGAAAGGGUAAGCGUUCAGGGGAGACCCAGUAAAAGUACUCGGCCAGAUCGACUAGCUUGACAGGUUUUAGGUGGAAAGAACCGUCACUUAACUUAAAGCUCAUCACGACCCUAAUACUAGUGUUGCUGAAGAACAGACAACUAGCUAGGAAAAGGUGCCCCCCAAAAUAAAUACUUAGAACGCUUUUAAGUCUAUAUAUAAAUAAGUAGACUGGACCAAUCAUAAAAAUGAUUACCCCGGGGGGCGACUAAACGCCAAACAAAAAUUACAUAAAUGAUGAAAUCGAAUCCUGUCAAAUAACUGUAAAUGGAUUCGGGGACGUGACCGGUAUAGAUCCAUGAUUGACUGUUACAUCCCUUGGGAUCUACCUUCGAUCGAGUGAAAGCUUAAGUGGUCAAGCCAGGGUGGGAACAUUCGACUUCAGAGGUCACGCUUUCAAUUUCCAUUAGGAUUUUUAAUGUCAUCUGAUUUACCUGCCUUCUUGUAGCCGAUGUCUUUAUGCGCAAGCUCUUCAUUUCUCUAUCCUCUCCCGAGCUCAAUUGCAUCGACCCUUCUCUAUCCCACUUCGAAUCGUACGGGAAAGAAGAGGUUGAUGAGAACGUGAAAUAUCUAUUAACCAACUCAAGUUGGUUUUACUUCUUGUAUUUCCUUGCCGUAAGAGCGUGAACAUAACUCUGCCGGUUAGAUGACCAUACCAGGGAGUUUUUUCUCAACGGCGCUCCCAGCUAGCGACACCUAAGCAAGUUAGAGGUUCUAGACUACAAGCUGUAGUUCCCAACAGGAGUGGGACCUUAAUAGAUGAGAGGUUCCUAGAAACUUAUUUUGAAGAAACCACAUCGGUUAUAUAAAGUAUUUGCUGCACUUCCUGAGAAAGAAGUCGUCUUGGUAUUGGAUCCGCUCUUCUGUUAGCAUGAACAUGAAUUAGAUUCUAUUCAUCUUAUUUAUUCUUAAGAGAACUCCCCACCCGAACCAUUCUCAACCCCGACCUACACAAGUGGUUUUAGAACUCAUAUUUAGAAAAAGUUCUGUUAGGUUCUUAGUAGCAGUCGGCGACCUUUUUCUAUUUCCUCCUCACUCCUGGGCCUUUAUCUACAUACGUCUCUUGAAUUUGAUUGAACAAAUUACUGCCCCUGUAGAAUUAAUUAGGCGGCUUAGGGGAGAGCCUAACAUCCUGCAGAGACAAAUCAAAAGAGAUCGCAUCCCAAUGCCAAUUGUGUGUUAAUACAGAAAUGAAAAGAACAAAAUGCCCUAACAUAUAUAUGCACAUCACUCCAGAGGAUUUGCGAAUUAGGCUUUCGAAAGCGCCCGAGUCUGCUGCCGUAUCCUGCUUUUUUAUUAUUAGACAAAGAAAGAGAGUGACGAUGUCAUAUAUUAGGAAGAUUCCUAAUAAUACCCAAUGAGCGGAAUCAGAAGGGGCCGGGUUAACCAUAAGAGGCGUAAUACUGACCCCGUCCCAGCCAAUUCGAAGUUCCAAGAUAAAUUUGCUAUUCUGAUAGAUAGUGGCAAACAUUAGAUUGUUGUAUCCCAAGAUAUAGAAGACUAUUAGCCCGAAAAUUAGAUUAUGAAUAGAUGGAAUAGCAGCAAAAAGCAUCUUUCUAGCUUGCGUGGAACUCAAUCUCAUUUAGUUAGAAAGGUUCUAUCUAUCUUUCAGCAACUGAACGGGAAGUGGUUUAGGAAAGGACUUUCGAAUCAAUCGGAUGCGCUCGCCCAGCGAGAAAGGCCCUGACCCUGCCAACCAAGUCAAAAUCAAAAAGAAGAGAACUUCGUAUUUUGGUAAUUCUCUAGGAGUCAUGUUUAACCUUGAAUGCUAUUAAUAAAUUCUACAGCAAUAGUCCCUCGGACUCGGAAAGUGAUAACGAAAAUGGCUAACCCAAUAGCGGAUUCCGCAGCUGCCACCGUUGAAACCAAUGAAGCAAAUGAUUGACCCAUCAUAUCAUCCGAAGAAACGGAAAAUACCAAAAAGUUCGAAUUCACAGCUAAUAACAUUGAUUCAAUUGGCAUUGACAUAAUAGGAAUAUUUCGUCUAUUAAGGAGGAUUCCCCGAAUACCUAAAAUAGAGAUGAUCAUAGAAAAUGUAAAAUAUUUGAUAGGAUCCGUUUCGGAAACGUGGAAUGUAAGAGAAAUUCAAAUGUUAUAACCAAUACGCCUAGUAGGUAAACGUGCGCCGUCGCCUUUAUCGUUCUUGCCUUUUCUCCAUUUCAACAAACCCAUUUGGGAUUCCCUUAUCCUUAAAUAGUUGCGGUUGCGGCACGACCUCGUACGAAAGCGGCGUGCAUCGCAAUGUAUAGGGGAUGUCCCUUUUUUGUAAAAAGUCUAUUGUUCCCUUCAGAUUUCUUUGCUUUAACCAUACCAAUAAAAAUAAGAUUAUGAGCCACAAAAACAAAUGAUUGAUAAGGGGAAGUACAGAAGUAGGUUUUGGAUUUCGAUCGGAUUAUUUGGCACUUUCAUUUGCUUUGGUUCAUUUUUUAACUGCUUCCCCCAACAAGAGGUUACUAGUAUCUCGUUUCUUUACUUACUUUAAGCAAUGAAGAAAGACUUGUUUGUUGUAAAUCGCUGGUUGGGUUUACCAAUCAAGAAAGACAUGGGAAAAGGAAAGCACUCACUGAGUUACUUACGAAUCUGAAAGAUGGAGGCUGACUACGGCCUCAGAUGAUUAGGCGGGGACAGGAUUCGAAC
rnacentral:lncRNA from 1 species